GCCAGGCUGUGGUCUCUGCUCGUCUCCCCCACGGCAGAAGCCUCGUGGCCUCCCAAGACGGCCGUCUUCCCUGCAGGCAGCACCUGUCUUUAGAGGUGCUUUCUGAUGUCAAGCUUCCUGGACCCCCGUCCCCACCCCUGGCCCAGCUGCUCUCUCUAGCCUGAGACCCCCUUGCAGAGUGCAGACCACUGUCCCCAGUUCUCCUCCCAGCUGCUGGCGUCUCACUGCCGGGCACAGUAGCCGUGGUCCAGGCUCUGGUGCAGGGGGUGCUGGGGUUGCACACUGCACCCCAGGCAGAGGCUGGGACUCAGAAUGAAGUCGGCUCCACUGCCCUGGCCCAGGGUACUCGGAGGGAAUCGCUGACACAGCCUGGUCUUCACCAGUCUGGAGCAGUGAAAUCCGAAUGAGGACACAAGGGCAAGGAGGAGGGGCGCCCAAUUCUUUGAUUCACCACUGGAGCUGGUGAGGGAGGGUCGGAGGCUCACCCCCGGUUGGAGCCACCUCACGUGAGUGCCAGCAUGGAGUGUUCAUGGG